GCUCUCGUAGCUCAAAAUACCAGAGCGGGCGGCUUCGAACCGCCAGGUUGCAGGUGAGAUUCCUGCCGGGAGUACCA
rnacentral:tRNA from 1 species